GUCGUAAUUUCGACAUAACAUGUCGUUAUAACGACAUCGCUAUGUCGUAAUUUCGACAUAAUAUGUCGUUACAACGACAUCGCUAUGUCGUAAUUUCGACAUAACAUGUCGUAAUAACGACAUAGCUAUGUCGUAAUAACGACAUCACUAUAUAUAUUAAAGAAUAUGUAUUAUGAUUGCCAAGACACUAAAUGACACAGAAAUUAACAACUAUAGGUCAUAUCAUAAUGCCCCCAAUAACUAGAAAAGCCCCCGCAUAAUCAGCUAUAAAAGAGGGACGAAAGAUACCAGAGGGAGAGCUCCCG
rnacentral:lncRNA from 1 species